CAACUCCAACUCCAAUCUGUCGAGCGACUUUCUCCUUGGUGUCCCUAUCAACAUCCGCAGGAUUUGGAAAUUGGUCAAAGGGACUGUGUGACAGUGGCAGCUGAGCCAGCCUUUUAGCCAGACGUCUCAGAAUUAGAGGGUGUUUAAAAAUGUCAUCAGAUAAUGUCAACGAAAACAAUUCAUUGUCGAUUUUUCCUUCUACAGUAGAGGACCCAUGAGAAACCGCAACAUGCGAGACCGAUAUACCGCCUGCAGCUCCCACUGAUACCGAACGAAUAUCACGCCAAAAGCUGCUCCCAGCAGACCGCGAUGGUCCAUACACCUUUACGAAAUCUUCCUGGAAAAUGGCUAAACAAGCCAUCUCCCUGACAUGGAAGGCCGUCUCCGGAACCUUCGUAUCUGGGUGAACCGUAAGGAUGUGGCGUUUCAUAUCAGCUGCGCGUUUAAUAGUUACAUGGCAAAAUGGACACUCCACUCCCAAGCGCUGAUGUACAGUCUCGACAUGUCUCUCAAAUUGACGUUGAGUUGCCAAUGUGGCAUGGCACAACCAACAAUUUUGGUGUUUCAUUCUGUAAAUUUACAAAAAGGUAUCAACGAAAAGUGUCCACCACCCUAAUAAAAAGGCAACACAAGUACUCAAAGGUCAAUUUCGAACAGACUCCAAUACGUCGAAUCGGGUUAUACAACCAAACAGCUUGGCCGACCGAAAAAAACCUCUUUUUCGCCUUGAUGUCAUAAUGACGCUUCUGAUAUGCUGUGUUCUUACGAAGAGACUUCCUCGCAAUUGUAUGACAGCUCACCAGGACCGUCUGUAACUGGCUACAAUAUGACUCUGGAUCACGUGCCUCAAUUGAAGAAUUUGGUGACCCGAUAAAUGCCUCUACUGGUAGGGUUACAUCACGCCCAAACACCAUUUUGUUGGGAGUUACACCAGUACUGCUGUGCACGGAAGCACGAUAAGCCAUGGUUAGCUGUGGAAGGUACUCAUCCCAUCUCUGUUGGUCAUCUUCACAAUAAAUGGCCAACAUGGAUUGAAGAGUUCUGUUGAAUCGUUCUGGACAACCAUUACUUUGGGGUCGAAGCGAACUUGUUGUUACUUUGUCGAUGUGAAGAAAAUCACAAAUAUCUUGAAAAAGCUGUGAAGUGAAAUUUGUCCCUUUAUCACUUAAAAUUUGUUGAGGACAACCAAACCGACAA